rnacentral:tRNA from 1 species
GGAUUGUGGCUCAGUGGUAAAGUACUCGACUAGCACAUGUGAGGACCUGGGUUGAAUCCUCAGCACCA